rnacentral:lncRNA from 1 species
CCCCAGCAGGAGAAAGGUCCCCUGGAGCAGAGGUUGAGAUGGGCACGGUGGUGCUGGCUCCCCCUGGGCAGCCUGGCACUUGGCAGUAGUGCCCAGAGACGGGAGGCUCCAGCUCACCAGACACCAGGGGCCAUCUCCACGCCUGGGCCUCUGCUCCAGAGAACCACAGCCCAGGAGCGGCCCCACCAGGAAGAGGGGAAGGACUAGGAGGGCAAGUCCUGGCCAGGCGAGCAACCAAAGCCACAAAGUCACUCGGUGAGACACAGCGGCUCUUAUUUUUCCAUCUCCUACCCACCCAGGGUGAUUGGGUGAAGUAUUGUGCUCGGAGUUCUUUACACAUCUAUAAUUCUUCAAGGAACUUCUGCAGUGGGUGUCCAUACCCCGACCUUAAAAAUGGAGAGACUGAAGCUCAAAGAAAGGAAGUACUUGCUUGGGUCACAUGUAACAGUGGAGCCUGGGAUUUCAGACCAGUUUCACAGGCCUCUGGAGCCCUCUGCUGUCACUUGGCAGUGGGAGCACAGGGCACGGGAGCCAGACCAGAAGACCAGGGCCGGGAAAGGGGACAUCACACGGUGGCAGCGGUGGGAGGAGCAGUUGCUGAGAUGUGGAGAGAAGGUCCCAAGCAGCUGCCUCUUGCCCAGGGCCCCGAGCUACAGCACUGGCCAAGCCAGAAGCAGGCACCAGCCCUUUGCCCCAGGGCCGGAGAGAAGGCUGGAGGGCCAGAGGAGCAGGAAGAGGCUUCUCGGUUGAUCAGCACUCUCUGCUCGCCCACAGUCUCCCUUGGGGCCCAGGUGACCUUUCCCCCAGAUCCCAGGGUCCAGGCCCUCCCCUGCAGGGAGGUGUGGGGGAUGGAGGCAGCUGGGAUUGGUUUGGAGCUGGCAGGGGCGGGUCCUGGGCUCCAAGGAAGGAGCAGAGCAGGUGGACUCCCGAGAUAGACCAGGAGCCGCCUGCCAGCCGGCGGCUUCUCUGACCCAGACCUCUGCCCUCCAAGACAUGGCCCCAGGCUCCCUCGAUCCCCAGCCCUGUGGCCUUGACGGGGUGAAAACAGCCUAAGCACCGCCACUUCAGGGCCUGUGCCCACACCCCC